GUGCUCACUUCAGCAGCACAUACACUAAAACUGAAAUGAUAAGAGAAGAUGAGCAUAGCCCCUGUGCAAGGAUGACAUGGUGUAUUUGAAACAUUUUA
rnacentral:snRNA from 1 species